GUCGAACGCUGGCGGCGUGCUUAACACAUGCAAGUCGAACGGUAAGGCCUUUCGGGGUACACGAGUGGCGAACGGGUGAGUAACACGUGGGUGAUCUGCCCUGCACUUCGGGAUAAGCCCGGGAAACUGGGUCUAAUACCGGAUAGGACUGCGCGGUGCAUGCCGUGUGGUGGAAAGAUUUAUCGGUGCAGGAUGGGCCCGCGGCCUAUCAGCUUGUUGGUGGGGUAAUGGCCUACCAAGGCGACGACGGGUAGCCGGCCUGAGAGGGCGACCGGCCACACUGGGACUGAGACACGGCCCAGACUCCUACGGGAGGCAGCAGUGGGGAAUAUUGCACAAUGGGCGCAAGCCUGAUGCAGCGACGCCGCGUGAGGGAUGACGGCCUUCGGGUUGUAAACCUCUUUCAGCAGGGACGAAGCGUGAGUGACGGUACCUGCAGAAGAAGCACCGGCCAACUACGUG
rnacentral:rRNA from 1 species